rnacentral:rRNA from 1 species
CAGUCGCCACGGUAAUACGAAGGGGGCUAGCGUUGUUCGGAUUUACUGGGCGUAAAGCGCACGUAGGCGGACUUUUAAGUCAGGGGUGAAAUCCCGGGGCUCAACCCCGGAACUGCCUUUGAUACUGGAAGUCUUGAGUAUGGUAGAGGUGAGUGGAAUUCCGAGUGUAGAGGUGAAAUUCGUAGAUAUUCGGAGGAACACCAAUGGCGAAGGCGGCUCACUGGACCAUUACUGACGCUGAGGUGCGAAAGCGUGGGGAGCAAACAGGAUUAGAUACCCCGGUAGUCCCUGUCUCUUAUAC